UACGUAGGGCGCAAGCGUUAUCCGGAAUUAUUGGGCGUAAAGAGCUCGUAGGCGGUCUGUCGCGUCGGAUGUGAAAAUCCAGGGCUCAACCCUGGACCUGCAUUCGAUACGGGCAGACUAGAGUUCGGUAGGGGAGACUGGAAUUCCUGGUGUAGCGGUGAAAUGCGCAGAUAUCAGGAGGAACACCGGUGGCGAAGGCGGGUCUCUGGGCCGAAACUGACGCUGAGGAGCGAAAGCGUGGGGAGCAAACAGG
rnacentral:rRNA from 1 species